rnacentral:rRNA from 1 species
GACGAACGCUGGCGGCGUGCUUAACACAUGCCAGUCGAACGGUGAAGGGACCGGUUUUUGCUGGUUCUGGAUGAGUGGCGAACGGGUGAGUAACACGUGAGUAACCUGCCCCCUUCUUCUGGAUAACCGCAUGAAAGUGUGGCUAAUACGGGAUAUUCUGCGCCUGCUGCAUGGUGGGUGUGGGAAAGAUAUUGUUUCGGUGGGGGAUGGGCUCGCGGCCUAUCAGCUUGUUGGUGGGGUGAUGGCCUACCAAGGCGGUGACGGGUAGCCGGCCUGAGAGGGUGGACGGUCACACUGGGACUGAGACACGGCCCAGACUCCUACGGGAGGCAGCAGUGGGGAAUAUUGCACAAUGGGCGCAAGCCUGAUGCAGCGACGCCGCGUGAGGGAUGGAGGCCUUCGGGUUGUAAACCUCUUUCGCCAGUGAAGCAGGCCUGUCCCUUUUGUGGGUGGGUUGACGGUAGCUGGAUAAGAAGCGCCGGCUAACUACGUG